rnacentral:rRNA from 1 species
AUUGAACGCUGGCGGCAGGCCUAACACAUGCAAGUCGAACGAGUCGCGGGCGGGUGAGUAAUGUCUGGGAAACUGCGCGAUGGAGGGGGAUCUCUACUAGAAACGGUCGCUAAUACCGCAUACCCUCGGAUGUGCCCAGAUGGGAUUAGCUAGUAGGUGGGGUAACGGCUCACCAAGGCGACGAUCCCUAGCUGGUCUGAGAGGAUGACCAGCCACACUGGAACUGAGACACGGCCCAGACUCCUACGGGAGGCAGCAGUGGGGAAUAUUGCACAAUGGGCGCAAGCCUGAUGCAGCCAUGCCGCGUGUAUGAAGAAGGCCUUCGGGUUGUAAAGUACUUUCAGCGAGGAGGCGUUACUCGCAGAAGAAGCACCGGCUAACUCCGUGCCAGCAGCCGCGGUAAUUC